rnacentral:rRNA from 1 species
AUUGAACGCUGGCGGCAGGCCUAACACAUGCAAGUCGAACGCGUGGCGGACGGGUGAGUAAUGUCUGGGAAUCUGCCUGAUGGAGGGGUAUCACGACUGGAAACGGUAUCUAAUACCGCACACCAUCGGAUGGCCCCAGAUGGGUUUAGCUAGUAUGUGGGUAAAAGGCUCACCUAGGCGACGAUCCCUAGCUGGUCUGAGAGGAUGACCAGACACACUGGAAGUGAGGGACUGUCCAGAUUCGUACGUGAGGCAGCAGUGGGGAAUAGUGCGCAAUGGGGGAAAGCCGGAUGCAGGCAUGCGGCGUGUAUGAAGAAGGCCUUCGGGUGGUAAAGUACUAUCAGCGGGGAUGCGUUACCCGCAUAAGAAGCACCGGGUAACUCCGUGCCAGCAGCCGCGGUAAUUC